rnacentral:rRNA from 1 species
AGUGAACGCUGGCGGUAGGCCUAACACAUGCAAGUCGAACGGCAGCACAGUAAGAGCUUGCUCUUACGGGUGGCGAGUGGCGGACGGGUGAGGAAUACAUCGGAAUCUACUUUUUCGUGGGGGAUAACGUAGGGAAACUUACGCUAAUACCGCAUACGACCUACGGGUGAAAGCAGGGGAUCUUCGGACCUUGCGCGAUUGAAUGAGCCGAUGUCGGAUUAGCUAGUUGGCGGGGUAAAGGCCCACCAAGGCGACGAUCCGUAGCUGGUCUGAGAGGAUGAUCAGCCAAACUGGAACUGAGACACGGUCCAAACUCCUACGGGAGGCAGCAGUGGGGAAUAUUGGACAAUGGGCGCAAGCCUGAUCCAGCCAUCCCGCGUGGGUGAAGAAGGCCUUGGGGUUGUAAAGCCCUUUUGUUGGGAAAGAAAAGCAGCAGGUUAAUACCCCGCUGUUCUGACGGUCCCCAAAAAAUAAGCACCGGCUAACUUCGU